rnacentral:rRNA from 1 species
UCAAGCUUUGCUUGGUGUUGGGCGUCUUGUCUCCAGUUCGCUGGAGACUCGCCUUAAAGUCAUUGGCAGCCGGCCUACUGGUUUCGGAGCGCAGCACAAGUCGCGCUCUCUUUCCAG